rnacentral:misc_RNA from 1 species
UAAAGAGAAAUGUGUAAUUUUGUGUAUAUAAGAAAUACAUUUUAUAGCACUCAGGCAGGUAUUAUUUUUUCAUUAUAAAGAACAUUUUAACGGUAAUGUACCGUGGAAUAAGACAACCUAUGUAAAUAUUACUUUGACAAAAGGGAACCGAACGCACACGUUUUCAAUACGUGUAUUGGAUGACACAGGUGGACCGCGUCAGCGUACCUGAGCCCUAAGGUCAAUAAAAAACAGGCGGCCCGAUCCUGUGACAUAUUGGUAUGUAUAACGGGAAUCCAUAAUAUUUCGUUCCCAUGCGACCUUACACAUGGAUAUGUUCAAUAGAUGUGACAAAAAAUGGUUAACAGUUUUACCAUAAAAAUUACUAUCGAUGUACUAUGAACUGUUAGAUUCUGUCUAGAAACAUGUCAAAUAAAUGAAAUGAAAUGAAAUAUAAGAAUUUAUUUUGCCAUACGGACCACACUUAACAAACAACAAAAAAAAAAUUAUAUAUAUAAAAAAAUAAUAGUCAUAGUAGCUAACAAUUUCAAAAUAGCUACAAUGUUAACAAUAGUUACAUUACAAAGUUAUGUAAUGUAUGUGUUACCCAGUAUUACGAAAUAAAUAACAAUAUUAUGAUUUUGAUCUAAUUUCUUGUGUCUCGGUAGAUAUCGCCUAUCUACUAUGUCACCGGCUUUAUUAAAUAUCACAAUAAAAUACUUAACCUAAUAGACACUAGUGUUGGCCGAGAGGAAAAAUAGAUGGAGGGAAAAAACUCUCGUCACUCUUUUCAAAUUUAAGUUUGUUAUACAAAAAAUGGCUAGGCUUUAGACUAAGAACCGCAUUAUUUUAACGAAAUUAUGCCGAUAAACGGUCCAAUUUUGAGCUUAGAUAAUUCGACGGUUCUUAAUCAAAAGCCUUACCAAAAAAAAAAAACAUAGUAUGACCAUGAAAUGACAAGAACAAACACGAGACAGCCAAUCGUGUGUGCUGGAAUCCUGCCACCUGUUUCCAAUAUUUGGAACCGUAUCUAAUGAAAGGACGGAAUAUGGAUAUCUCUAUACCUUGUCAAGGCUAAUUCAAUCUAAUAUAUUUUCAUUGUUAAAGUAUUCAUUGAUAUCGUAAUAAACUUUUUACACAAAG